rnacentral:rRNA from 1 species
GGGUUGUGAGGUUAAGCGACUAAGCGUACACGGUGGAUGCCCUGGCAGUCAGAGGCGAUGAAGGACGUGCUAAUCUGCGAUAAGCGUCGGUAAGGUGAUAUGAACCGUUAUAACCGGCGAUUUCCGAAUGGGGAAACCCAGUGUGUUUCGACACACUAUCAUUAACUGAAUCCAUAGGUUAAUGAGGCGAACCGGGGGAACUGAAACAUCUAAGUACCCCGAGGAAAAGAAAUCAACCGAGAUUCCCCCAGUAGCGGCGAGCGAACGGGGAGCAGCCCAGAGCCUGAAUCAGUGUGUGUGUUAGUGGAAGCGUCUGGAAAGGCGCGCGAUACAGGGUGACAGCCCCGUACACAAAAAUGCACAUGCUGUGAGCUCGAUGAGUAGGGCGGGACACGUGGUAUCCUGUCUGAAUAUGGGGGGACCAUCCUCCAAGGCUAAAUACUCCUGACUGACCGAUAGUGAACCAGUACCGUGAGGGAAAGGCGAAAAGAACCCCGGCGAGGGGAGUGAAAAAGAACCUGAAACCGUGUACGUACAAGCAGUGGGAGCCUCUUUUAUGGGGUGACUGCGUACCUUUUGUAUAAUGGGUCAGCGACUUAUAUUCUGUAGCAAGGUUAACCGAAUAGGGGAGCCGAAGGGAAACCGAGUCUUAACUGGGCGUUAAGUUGCAGGGUAUAGACCCGAAACCCGGUGAUCUAGCCAUGGGCAGGUUGAAGGUUGGGUAACACUAACUGGAGGACCGAACCGACUAAUGUUGAAAAAUUAGCGGAUGACUUGUGGCUGGGGGUGAAAGGCCAAUCAAACCGGGAGAUAGCUGGUUCUCCCCGAAAGCUAUUUAGGUAGCGCCUCGUGAAUUCAUCUCCGGGGGUAGAGCACUGUUUCGGCAAGGGGGUCAUCCCGACUUACCAACCCGAUGCAAACUGCGAAUACCGGAGAAUGUUAUCACGGGAGACACACGGCGGGUGCUAACGUCCGUCGUGAAGAGGGAAACAACCCAGACCGCCAGCUAAGGUCCCAAAGUCAUGGUUAAGUGGGAAACGAUGUGGGAAGGCCCAGACAGCCAGGAUGUUGGCUUAGAAGCAGCCAUCAUUUAAAGAAAGCGUAAUAGCUCACUGGUCGAGUCGGCCUGCGCGGAAGAUGUAACGGGGCUAAACCAUGCACCGAAGCUGCGGCAGCGACGCUUAUGCGUUGUUGGGUAGGGGAGCGUUCUGUAAGCCUGUGAAGGUGUGCUGUGAGGCAUGCUGGAGGUAUCAGAAGUGCGAAUGCUGACAUAAGUAACGAUAAAGCGGGUGAAAAGCCCGCUCGCCGGAAGACCAAGGGUUCCUGUCCAACGUUAAUCGGGGCAGGGUGAGUCGACCCCUAAGGCGAGGCCGAAAGGCGUAGUCGAUGGGAAACAGGUUAAUAUUCCUGUACUUGGUGUUACUGCGAAGGGGGGACGGAGAAGGCUAUGUUGGCCGGGCGACGGUUGUCCCGGUUUAAGCGUGUAGGCUGGUUUUCCAGGCAAAUCCGGAAAAUCAAGGCUGAGGCGUGAUGACGAGGCACUACGGUGCUGAAGCAACAAAUGCCCUGCUUCCAGGAAAAGCCUCUAAGCAUCAGGUAACAUCAAAUCGUACCCCAAACCGACACAGGUGGUCAGGUAGAGAAUACCAAGGCGCUUGAGAGAACUCGGGUGAAGGAACUAGGCAAAAUGGUGCCGUAACUUCGGGAGAAGGCACGCUGAUAUGUAGGUGAAGCGACUUGCUCGUGGAGCUGAAAUCAGUCGAAGAUACCAGCUGGCUGCAACUGUUUAUUAAAAACACAGCACUGUGCAAACACGAAAGUGGACGUAUACGGUGUGACGCCUGCCCGGUGCCGGAAGGUUAAUUGAUGGGGUCAGCGCAAGCGAAGCUCUUGAUCGAAGCCCCGGUAAACGGCGGCCGUAACUAUAACGGUCCUAAGGUAGCGAAAUUCCUUGUCGGGUAAGUUCCGACCUGCACGAAUGGCGUAAUGAUGGCCAGGCUGUCUCCACCCGAGACUCAGUGAAAUUGAACUCGCUGUGAAGAUGCAGUGUACCCGCGGCAAGACGGAAAGACCCCGUGAACCUUUACUAUAGCUUGACACUGAACAUUGAGCCUUGAUGUGUAGGAUAGGUG